UUGGCUAUGGAUGUGGAUACAUAAAAGGACUUGGGUAUGGUUCUAAACCUGCUAGCAAACGAAAUUCAUUAAUUGAAUCGGCAACCCAAAAGCUUCAUAAACAACUUUCUGCUACACAAGAAAAGUUGAGCAAGUUCGAGUCAGAGGUGACUGAGCUUAGGAAUCAACUGAAUAAUGUGACAAAUCAGUUAACCAACCAAGGAGAAAAGUUCGAUAAGUUGUUGGCAUUAUUGUCAAAGAAAG
rnacentral:misc_RNA from 1 species